rnacentral:rRNA from 1 species
GGGUCAGUAGGUUGGUCGUGCCACCGGUACGUACUGGUCUCACUGAUUCCUCCUUCCUGAAGAACCGUAAUGCCAUUAAUUUGGUGUUGCGGGGAAACAGGACUGUUACUUUGAAAAAAUUAGAGUGUUUGAAGCAAGCUAACGCUUGAAUACAUUAGCAUGGAAUAAUGAAAUAGGACGAUCGAUCCUAUUUUGUUGGUCUCUAGGAUUGACGUA